AGGGGAUAACAUCCGGAAACGGGUGCUAAUACCGCAUAGUUUUUCUUGAUCGCAUGAUCGGGAAAGGAAAGACGGCCUUUUGUGCUGUCGCUUAUGGAUGGACCCGCGGCGUAUUAGUUAGUUGGUGAGGUAACGGCUCACCAAGACGAUGAUACGUAGCCGACCUGAGAGGGUGAUCGGCCACAUUGGGACUGAGACACGGCCCAAACUCCUACGGGAGGCAGCAGUAGGGAAUCUUCCGCAAUGGACGAAAGUCUGACGGAGCAACGCCGCGUGAGUGAAGAAGGUUUUUCCGGAUCGUAAAACUCUGUUGUCAGAGAAGAACAAGUUGGAGAGUAACUGCUCCAGCCUUGACGGUAUCUGACCAGAAAGCCACGGCUAACUACGUGCCAGCAGCAGC
rnacentral:rRNA from 1 species